rnacentral:lncRNA from 1 species
AUGUGGAGAUACUAUGAUGCAAGCACAUGGCUUCCAGAUGACAUACAUGUUCUUCCCAACAACAAGCUAGCUGAUCUCAGGUAUCAGUCAGGUAUCAGCCCUUCUGAGCUAUUUUUGCAGUCUCUUAGUGUGCUCUUCCUAAUGGUGUAUUUUAACAGAAGCUUUGAACAGAACACUUGGCUUCCUAUUGGGGCUGACUUACUCUUUUGCUGUGAGCUACUGAGGUUAAAGAUGGAUCUGAAUCCUGUGGAAGUGGAGAGAUGCAUCCAGACUGAGGGUGUCUUUUCGGGAGGGUAGGUCUAGCAUGUGGACAGUACUGUCAGCUGGUGCUGCAGAGUUAUGCCACCUUUCUGCAUAAACCAACACAAAUCCACUUGGCAAAUAUACAGAAGAAAGAUAACUUUUGUCAGCUCCACUUAUGCUGUUUGUGUAUCUGAUACAACCAGACCAGCAGGGAAGCUAUUCAUAAAUGCUGUUUCCUCUCAGGGGCUUUGCAGAAAAAGCCUUGCUCACAAUUCAAAAAAUUUGGUGCUUCUUCUCCCAUCAAACUCUGGGUGUGUGAAACAAUAAGAAAUGUCAUAUCUAAUCACAUAUUCACAAAGUGUUGUUUGCAUACAUAAAGCCAUCUGUUCUGAUCAGCUUUUUCUGCCCAUACAUCAAUUCAGAGCAAGACAAGGUUAUGAUUAUCAUUAUUUAUAAUAUUAUCCCCAUUCUCUCUAGCAUGCUAACAUCCACUUGCUGUCAUCUGAUUUCCCACCAUGUAAAUUAGCUAGAGCAGCAGAAACUGUAGUUUGAGAAAGAGAUC